rnacentral:lncRNA from 1 species
UAAGUUUUCCUCUCCUCCCUCUCUAUAUCUUUUUGUUCUCACUAAUUAAUGGUUUUGUUUGCAGGUAGAGAGUUCUUGACAUCUUUGGCUACAACCUACAUCUCAAGUAUGAUUUAAAUCAUAACUUUUAAAUAUAUACCCCCAAGUUCAUUUUACAAGUCUUAGUUUCUUCCGUUAUUGUUAAGGAAUUUAAGAGUUUCUUUUCAGUUUGGAAGUGUCAAAUUUCAAUCACCUCUCUCAUCUGUCUCUCGCUUCUCUCUUAGUUCUCUCUUAAGUUAAAUCUUCAAAAACUACAAAUGGCGAUCUGGGGGUACGAGGAUAGCUGGGAUGAAGUGGCGGCUUACAACAACUAUCCACUUCUAGGAAUUGUUGUCCUCGCUGUGAUCUUUGCCGUUUUGGUGGUUGUGGCUGGAAAAAAUUUAC